AGUUAAGUCAGAAGUGAAAUCCAAUAGCUCAACUAUUGAACUGCUUUUGAAACUGAUUACCUAGAAUAUGGGAGAGGUAGAUGGAAUUUCUGGUGUAGGGGUAAAAUCCGUAGAGAUCAGAAGGAAUACCGAUUGCGAAGGCGAUCUACUGGAACAUUAUUGACGCUGAGACGCGAAAGCGUGGGGAGCAAACAGGAUUAGAUACCCUGGUAGUCCACGCCCUAAACGAUGUACACUAGUUGUUGUGAGGCUCGACCUUGCAGUAAUGCAGUUAACACAUUAAGUGUACCGCCUGGGGAGUACGGUCGCAAGAUUAAAACUCAAAGGAAUAGACGGGGACCCGCACAAGCGGUGGAGCAUGUGGUUUAAUUCGACGAUACACGAAGAACCUUACCUGGACUUGACAUAGUAAGAACUUUCUAGAGAUAGAUUGGUGUCUGCUUGCAGAAACUUAUAUACAGGUGCUGCACGGCUGUCGUCAGCUCGUGUCGUGAGAUGUUGGGUUAAGUCCCGCAACGAGCGCAACCCUCGUCAUUAGUUGCUAACAGUUCGGCUGAGAACUCUAAUGAGACUGCCUACGCAAGUAGGAGGAAGGUGAGGACGACGUCAAGUCAUCAUGGCCCUUACGUCCAGGGCUACACACGUGCUACAAUGGGGUAUACAAAGAGCCGCAAUACGGUGACGUGGAGCAAAUCUCAAAAAUAUCUCCCAGUUCGGAUUGUAGUCUGCAACUCGACUACAUGAA
rnacentral:rRNA from 1 species